ensembl:lncRNA
AUGCCCAAAUUCACUUUGUGACCAGUCUGUCUGGAUAUGGACCUGUGAUGAAGAGGAACUCUUGGCCGUAGCACAGGGCCCUGUACACUGUGAUCCUGGAAGAGCACCUGGACAGAUGAGCCAUGGAGUUUGGGAAGAAAAUCUGGGUGGAAAAUGAGCAGCCUCAAAGAUGAGAGACCUUUGGGGCCAAGCCUUACUCAGGUGGGAAGAGGCGCUACCCAUUGACCUGAGGAGAGGUCAUGGCAAACUUUGGAGCUGGACUGAACCUGUUGUGACAUGGCUGUUUGGCUCCAGGCAAUCAGCACGUCUGAGUAUGCAAGACCUCCGAGCCCACAGUUGCAGGGGCUCUGCAACAGAACUUAAACCUUUCCUGAAUUGUUCAAAAGCAAUAACUCCCAGUGUCUCUGCACAGCAACUGAGAACAGCUCGGACAAUGCGAGACCAUGCUACAUCAUCACCGCCAGGGUCUCACUUGGCACGGCCAUUGCAGCAUGUCAGGUUGCCAGCCAGACUCUGGGGUCCAUCAAGGGCUCAGCUACCACACAGAGACAGCGCACCAGCAAAGGCCGCUCCAUUUCCACUGAAGUUCCCAAGACAAGAUACUGACCUGUCUCCCCAGACACACAUACCAGGUGAAUGAUGGAAGCCAGGUAAGAGGUAUGCUGAAAUGUCAGCCAAUUUGGGCUGCUCAUGAGAAACUCUCUUCACUGGCCCAUGGCAGGGGAAAAAAAAAAAAAAAUGAUGCUACUUUCGCCUCAGUGCUUCUCCUCAGCCAUGGCCAUAGCGCCUGCUCUGCACUAGGAGGGGGGAAGUAUCCCAGCACCUCCUCAUGCUCCUCCAUAUCCUCUGGCUUCACCAUGUCACCCUUCCACAGCCCAUUCCUGCAGCUAGCACUGCCUCCUACUGUAACAUCCCCUACCCCAGGGCCACCACACACCUCCCGUGGGGAACUGCCAAGAACCAGCCUGUUGGCAGCUUCUGUCCCCUCACCCCUCCCCAGUAAGGACACAGCUGUGCUUAGCAGAAACAGACUCCCCAAGAGCAAGAAAAGAAAAAAAAGAAUGAGACGAGGAGAGCUAUAGCCAAAACAAGUGUGCUCAUGGAGAACUGUCUUUACCAGUGACCCUCACGGUAUCUCCUGGAAGCAGUCGGGCGCUGUCUUCUUCUCACAUAGAGAUCUGUGUCUACCGUCUCCUGAACCGCUUGCUCUGGAAGCAGGAGAAAGAAAAAUAUACCUCUGUUGAUAAGCUCCUUGCAGUCUUCAGCAGACCCUGCAGGAGACUACCCUGUGAUAGAUGCUGGUGGGGGUUAACCAUUGUAGGAAGUUAGGAAUGGCACUCCCAAAUACUGGAUCUCAUAUAAAGGUCCUGAAAGCCUGUACUGGAGCCCUCUUUCCUUCUUUGGUUGAGAAUGCCUUUAUCCUCUCAAGCUUGAUUAUAUGUUUCUCAAGCUUGAUUAUAUGUUUUUAAUUUGGUGGAUCUUUUUUGGUGGUGUGUUUGGAAACCAUGCACAUUGACCUCCUGAAGAUCAUGACUGCUUCACAGCACAGGAGACCAUAGGUUUUGCACUCUCCAAGAGCCAAGAGAGGCCUCUACGACCAGGAUUAUACCCAGCCUCACAGAACCAAUAUAAGGGGGUCACCGGCUUCCAGCACAAUCCCAGCCCUUGUGUGUACACAGAAACAACAGUCUCCAAAUGACUACAUAGUCACUGGAGACAUAGCCAUGCUUCUGGCCUCCCUUCUCCUCCACACUGGUCAACAAGGCUGGUCUUAUACCAUGAGAUGGCACACGUCCUUUUUCAAUACUUGAAGCCUUCCUUCCUGCCUUCCUAGGAAGCAUUUCGCCUGCUGUGUUUCUCAGAACCUCACAUUUAGUUCAAACAGCACAGAAGAGCCCAAAACAAUAUGGCCAAAUUAAAAUAACUCCUCAUUUGGAUAACUGUCAUCAGCUCUUUUGCUGUUUAGUGUCUUUCUCACCAGCUGGUGCAGCUGAGAAUCUGGGCCCGAGUUCUUUGUGCUGCACAGUCCACUGGGAAAUGUUAUACAUGCUUAUUAUGUUAAGUGCAUACAUAUAUAUAUACACAUAGGUAUAUGUAUAUAUUUAGCAUAAUAAGUAUAUAUAUAUACAUAAAAUAACCUGUGGUUUCCAAACAUAAAUCUAUAGGGACUACAUAAUGAAGAAGUGAGUAAAGUGACUUUACCUCUGUGUGAUAAACCAGAGGAAACAAAAAUUAUGAGGGCUUCCUUCCCUUUAACACACACAAUAUUAAUAUUCCUACAGAGCUGGUCAAACCAUCAAAUACAUGGCCUAGCAGAUCUGAGAGUCAGAUUUUUUUCGGUAAGCCUUUGGUGAAUGAAUCCUUGGGAGUCAAAGAUCCUCCACAGAUUUUGCAGACCAAAGGCAAGUGUUUGUGAGCGUGUUCACAAUAAGGGACUGACUAAGUUUGGGAAUGACUGAGUUUAAACAUCAAAUGACCAGUUGCACAGGUGAUAAUAUUAUUCACAAGUGACUGUACGUUUCUAGGAUAUACGUGUGUGUGUGUGUGUGUGUGUGUGUGUGUGUGUGUAUGUAUAUGUAUAUGUAUAUGGAUAAUGCCAAGUGUAUGUAAUCAGUGGGCUUGAUCUAAGUUUUCCUGCAAAGUGCUAAUGGGAACAACUAACUCUGGGGGUAGGUAAAGGGGACAAAAAUAAAUUUGGAGGUGGAAAAGUUUCA